CCUACGGGUGGCUGCAGUGGGGAAUCUUGCGCAAUGGCCGAAAGGCUGACGCAGCGACGCCGCGUGCGGGAUGAAGGCCUUCGGGUCGUAAACCGCUGUUGCCCGGGACGAACAAGCACUUUCGAGUGCUCUGACGGUACCGGGUGAGGAAGCACCGGCUAACUCCGUGCCAGCAGCCGCGGUAAUACGGAGGGUGCGAGCGUUGUCCGGAAUCACUGGGCGUAAAGGGCGCGUAGGCGGUGGCCUAAGCGUGUGGUGAAAGCCUGGGGCUCAAC
rnacentral:rRNA from 1 species